rnacentral:rRNA from 1 species
GGGGAUAUUAUAUAUCUCAAACGAUUUAUCGUAUGAAGUUCAAAAUAAAUAAACAAUAAUGACAUAUAUUUAUUUAAAGUCUUGUCCAAAUUACGUGCCAGCAGACGCGGUAAUACGUAGAAGACGAGUGUUAUUCAUCUUUAUUGGGUUUAAAGGGUACCUAGACGGAAAAUAAAGCCACAAUUGGAACUAAUUUUCUAGAGUUUUAUGUGAGAAGAUAGAAUUCAUGGAGUAAAGUUAUAAUUUAUUGAUACUGUGAGGACUGUUAACGGCGAAGGCAAUCUUCUAUGUAAAAACUGACGUUGAGGGACGAAGCCUAGGGUAGCGAUAAGGAUUAGAGACCCUAAUAGUCCUAGGAGAAAAAUAUGAAUGCCAUAAAUUAGAUAUUAAUUUGGUUUAUAAAUGAAAAUGAAAGCAUUCCACCUCAUGAGUAAAGCGGCAACGCUCAAAUUGAAAUCAUUAGACCGUUUCUGAAACCAGUAGUGAAGUAUGUUAUUUAAUUCGAUGAUCCGCGAAAAACCUUACCACAAUUUGAAUUUUUACAAGUGCUGCAUGGUUGUCUUUAGCUGAUGUCGUGAGAUGAGGUUAACUCCUACAAUUGGCGCAAGCCUUCACUUUAUUUUUUUCAUAAAGUUGUUCACCAUUAUAAUGGUAUAGAUAAAUAGGAUUAAGGCAAAUCAUCAUGGCCUAAAUAUUGUGGGCUAUAGACGUGCCACAUACGCCUUUACAAAAGGAAGCAAAAUUGAGAAA